rnacentral:rRNA from 4 species
AGCAACAAAUGCCCUGCUUCCAGGAAAAGCCUCUAAGCAUCAGGUAACAUCAAAUCGUACCCCAAACCGACACAGGUGGUCAGGUAGAGAAUACCAAGGCGCUUGAGAGAACUCGGGUGAAGGAACUAGGCAAAAUGGUGCCGUAACUUCGGGAGAAGGCACGCUGACACGUAGGUGAAGUGAUUUACUCAUGGAGCUGAAGUCAGUCGAAGAUACCAGCUGGCUGCAACUGUUUAUUAAAAACACAGCACUGUGCAAACACGAAAGUGGACGUAUACGGUGUGACGCCUGCCCGGUGCCGGAAGGUUAAUUGAUGGGGUCAGCGCAAGCGAAGCUCCUGAUCGAAGCCCCGGUAAACGGCGGCCGUAACUAUAACGGUCCUAAGGUAGCGAAAUUCCUUGUCGGGUAAGUUCCGACCUGCACGAAUGGCGUAAUGAUGGCCAGGCUGUCUCCACCCGAGACUCAGUGAAAUUGAACUCGCUGUGAAGAUGCAGUGUACCCGCGGCAAGACGGAAAGACCCCGUGAACCUUUACUAUAGCUUGACACUGAACAUUGAGCCUUGAUGUGUAGGAUAGGUGGGAGGCUUUGAAGUGUGGACGCCAGUCUGCAUGGAGCCGACCUUGAAAUACCACCCUUUAAUGUUUGAUGUUCUAACGUGGACCCGUAAUCCGGGUUGCGGACAGUGUCUGGUGGGUAGUUUGACUGGGGCGGUCUCCUCCUAAAGAGUAACGGAGGAGCACGAAGGUUGGCUAAUCCUGGUCGGACAUCAGGAGGUUAGUGCAAUGGCAUAAGCCAGCUUGACUGCGAGCGUGACGGCGCGAGCAGGUGCGAAAGCAGGUCAUAGUGAUCCGGUGGUUCUGAAUGGAAGGGCCAUCGCUCAACGGAUAAAAGGUACUCCGGGGAUAACAGGCUGAUACCGCCCAAGAGUUCAUAUCGACGGCGGUGUUUGGCACCUCGAUGUCGGCUCAUCACAUCCUGGGGCUGAAGUAGGUCCCAAGGGUAUGGCUGUUCGCCAUUUAAAGUGGUACGCGAGCUGGGUUUAGAACGUCGUGAGACAGUUCGGUCCCUAUCUGCCGUGGGCGCUGGAGAACUGAGGGGGGCUGCUCCUAGUACGAGAGGACCGGAGUGGACGCAUCACUGGUGUUCGGGUUGUCAUGCCAAUGGCACUGCCCGGUAGCUAAAUGCGGAAGAGAUAAGUGCUGAAAGCAUCUAAGCACGAAACUUGCCCCGAGAUGAGUUCUCCCUGAGACUUAGAGUCUCCUGAAGGAACGUUGAAGACGACGACGUUGAUAGGCCGGGUGUGUAAGCGCAGCGAUGCGUUGAGCUAACCGGUACUAAUGAACCGUGAGG